GACAGAGGGUGCAACCGUUGUUCGGAAUUACUGGGCGUAAAGAGUGUGUAGGCGGUGCUCCAAGUCUGGUGUGAAAUCUCCCGGCUUAACUGGGAGGGUGCAUUAGAAACUGGAAUGCUAGAGGAUGGGAGAGGUAAGCGGAAUUCCUGGUGUAGCGGUGAAAUGCGUAGAUAUCAGGAGGAACACCUGUGGUGUAGACAGCUUACUGGACCAUUUCUGACGCUGAGACACGAAAGCGUGGGUAGCAAACAGG
rnacentral:rRNA from 1 species